rnacentral:rRNA from 1 species
ACGGGAGGCAGCAGUGGGGAAUAUUGCACAAUGGGGGGAACCCUGAUGCAGCGACGCCGCGUGAGUGAAGAAGUAUUUCGGUAUGUAAAGCUCUAUCAGCAGGGAAGAAACAGGACGGUACCUGCACAAGAAGCCCCGGCUAACUACGUGCCAGCAGCCGCGGUAAUACGUAGGGGGCAAGCGUUAUCCGGAUUUACUGGGUGUAAAGGGAGCGUAGACGGCUGUGUAAGUCUGGAGUGAAACUCCGCGGCUCAACUGCGGAACUGCUCUGGAAACUAUACAGCUUGAGUACCGGAGGGGUAGGCGGAACUCCUAGUGUAGCGGUGAAAUGCGUAGAUAUUAGGAAGAACACCGGCGGCGAAGGCGGCCUACUGGACGGAAACUGACGUUGAGGCUCGAAAGCGUGGGGAGCAAACAGGAUUAGAUACCCUGGUA